ACUAACUCUAGCUCUUACAUACACCUAACAUAACUAUUUACAUAAAUUAAUUAAAUCAUUUAGUCCAAUAAAGUAUUGGAGAAAGAAAUUAUAUUAUAGAAGCUAUAGAGCCAGUACCGCAAGGGAAAGAUGAAAGACAACUUAAAAGUAAAAAAAAAGCAAAGAUUAAACCUUGUACCUUUUGCAUAAUGAAUUAACUAGAAAAACUCUAACUAAAAGAAUUUAAGCUAGAAACCCCGAAACCAAACGAGCUACCUAAGAACAAUUUUACGAAUCAACCCGUCUAUGUGGCAAAAUAGUGGGAAGAUUCUUAGGUAGAGGUGAAAAGCCUAACGAGCUUGGUGAUAGCUGGUUACCCAAUAAAUGAAUUUCAGUUCAACUUUAAAUUUACUAUAAGAACAUGCAAUCAAAAAGUAAAUUUAAAUUAUAGCCUAAAGAGGGACAGCUCUUUAGGAAUGGGAAAAACCCAAGACAGCGAAUAAACUAUAUAACCCUAUUAAAUUCAUUGUUGGCUUAAAAGCAGCCACCAAUAAAGAAAGCGUUCAAGCUCAACAUUUUCAGAAAAUACUAAUUAAAUUAUUUUUGAUAAAUUCCUGUCAUAUAAAUUGGGUUAAUCUAUCAUUACAUAGAUGAAAUACUGUUAGUAUAAGUAACAAGAAUAAUUUCUCCAAGCAUAAGUGUAUAACAAUACGGAUACCCAUUGUUAAUUAUCAAACCAUAAAUAUUAAACCUCUUAAUUAAACUAUUUAUUAAUUAUCUGUUAAUCCAACACAGGAAUGCUUUAAGGAAAGAUUAAAAAAAAUAAAAGGAACUCGGCAAACUAGAACCCCGCCUGUUUACCAAAAACAUCACCUCUAGCAUAACAAUUAUUAGAGGCACUGCCUGCCCAGUGACUAAAGUUAAACGGCCGCGGUAUCCUGACCGUGCAAAGGUAGCAUAAUCACUUGUUCCUUAAUUAGGGACUAGCAUGAAUGGCUAAACGAGGGUUCAACUGUCUCUUAUUUUUGAUCAGUGAAAUUGACCUUUCAGUGAAGAGGCUGAAAUACUGUAAUAAGACGAGAAGACCCUAUGGAGCUUUAAUUAAUUAGCUUACUUAUUUCCCUUAUUUAUCUAAUGAACCAAAAUAAAUUAAUUUAAGCUAUAAAUUUCGGUUGGGGUGACCUCGGAGAACAAAAAAUCCUCCGAAUGAUUAUAACAUAGACCCACAAGUCAAAGUAAACUACAUUAUCUUAUUGACCCAAAACAUUAUUUUGAUCAACGGACCAAGUUACCCUAGGGAUAACAGCGCAAUCCUAUUUAAGAGUUCAUAUCGACAAUUAGGGUUUACGACCUCGAUGUUGGAUCAGGACAUCCCAAUGGUGCAGAAGCUAUUAAUGGUUCGUUUGUUCAACGAUUAAAGUCCUACGUGAUCUGAGUUCAGACCGGAGUAAUCCAGGUCGGUUUCUAUCUAUUUAUAAUUUCUCCCAGUACGAAAGGACAAGAGAAAUAGAGCCACCUUACUAAUAAGCGCUCUCAAAUUUAUUUAUGAAUAAAAUCUUAAUUUAGUAAAUUUAUAAAUUCAAAUUACCUAGACAAGGUU
rnacentral:rRNA from 1 species